rnacentral:rRNA from 12 species
GUCGUGAGAUGUUGGGUUAAGUCCCGCAACGAGCGUAACCCUUGUUUUUAGUUGCCUUUAUUGGAUAUCUAGAAAGACUGCCGAUUAUAAAUCGGAGGAAGGUAAGGACGACGUCAAGUCAUCAUGCCCCUUACACCCUGGGCUACACACGUGCUACAUUGGGUAGAACAGUGAGUCGCUAAGUUGUGAAACCAAGCUAAUCUUCAAAUCUACUCUAAGUUCGGAUUGUAGGCUGCAACUCGCCUACAUAAAGAUGGAAUCGCUAGUAAUCGCUGGUCAGCUACACAGCGGUGAAUCCGUUCCCGGGCCUUGUACACACCGCCCGUCACACCAUGGAAGCUGGUCAUACCCAAAGUCGUUAUUCUAACCUUUUGGAGGAAGGCGCCUAAGGUAGGAUUGGUGACUGGGGUGAAGUCGUAACAAGGUAGCCGUACCGGAAGGUGCGGCUGGAUCACCUCCUU